rnacentral:rRNA from 1 species
GUAACGCGUGAGUAACCUGCCUUUCANAGGGGGAGUAACGUUCUGAAAAGAACGCUAAUACCGCAUGAGACUACAGAGCUGCAUGGCUCAGUGGUCAAAGGAGCAAUCCGCUGAAAGAUGGACUCGCGUCCGAUUAGCCAGUUGGCGGGGUAACGGCCCACCAAAGCGACGAUCGGUAGCCGGACUGAGAGGUUGAACGGCCACAUUGGGACUGAGACACGGCCCAGACUCCUACGGGAGGCAGCAUG